AUUGAACGCUGGCGGCAGGCCUAACACAUGCAAGUCGAGCGGAUGAAGGGAGCUUGCUCCUGGAUUCAGCGGCGGACGGGUGAGUAAUGCCUAGGAAUCUGCCUGGUAGUGGGGGAUAACGUCCGGAAACGGGCGCUAAUACCGCAUACGUCCUGAGGGAGAAAGUGGGGGUUCUUCGGACCUCACGCUUUCAUAUGAUCCUAGGUCGGAUUAGCUAGUUGGUGUGGUAAAGGCCUACCAAGGCGACGAUCCGUAACUGGUAUGAGAGGAUGAUCAGUCACACUGGAACUGAGACACGGUCCAGACUCCUACGGGAGGAAGCAGUGGGGAAUAUUGGACAAAGGGCGAAAGCCUGAUACAGCAAUGCCGCGUGUGAGAAGAAGGUCUUCGGAUUGUAAAGCACUUUAAGUUGGGAGGAAGGGAAGUAAGUUAAUAAAUUGAUGUAUUGACGUUACCAAAAGAAUAAGCACCGGCUAACUUCGUG
rnacentral:rRNA from 1 species